rnacentral:lncRNA from 1 species
CGAUGUUGGGUCCCCUGUCUUAUAUUCUCCACGCUCCAGAUAUUCAGCUCUGGAUGUGCGGGGGUGUUGGAGUCCUACAUCGAUGGGUUAAAAGGUCCUUGGUCUCCUUAUAUGGUCUUGGACAAUCCUCCCUUAUGAGCUAAGUGCAAUGCUUAUCUCUGAAGAAGCCGACAUUGAAUGUACUGUUUCUAUGUCUGCAGUGGGACUCUGCUUCAUCCUAUUUGUACCGGACAGCUUCUUAAAAAAUGUAUAUAUGUAUCCGCAUGUAUCCCGAGGUUACUGCUAAGUCGCAUGUAUUCAUACAUGCAUCCCGGGGAUUACGGUGGUUGUUGGUGGCAUGUAUCCGAUGAAGAUUGAUUUUCUGAAAUCC